rnacentral:rRNA from 1 species
GACGAACGCUGGCGGCGUGCCUAAUACAUGCAAGUAGAACGCUGAAGGAGGAUCUUGCUUCUCUGUAUGAGUUGCGCACGGGUGAGUAACGCGUAGGUAACCUGCCUGGUAGCGGGGGAUAACUAUUGGAAACGAUAGCUAAUACACCAUAAAAGUAGAUGUUGCAUGACAUUUGCGUAAAAAGUGCAAUUUCGUCACUCACAAAUGUGACCGCGUUGUAUUAUCUAGUUGGGGAGGUAAAGGCGCACCAAGGCAAAGAUACAUAGCCGCCCUGAGAGGGGGAUCGGCCACCUUGGGACUGAGACACGGCCCAGACUCCUACGGGAGGCAGCAGUAGGGAAUCUUCGGCAAUGGACGGAAGUCUGACCGAGCAACGCCGCGUGAGUGAAGAAGGUUUUCGGAUCGUAAAGCUCUGUUGUUAGAGAAGAACGAGUGUGAGAGUGGAAAGUUCAUCCAGUGACGGUAUCUUACCAGAAAGGGACGGCUAACUACGUG